UACGUAGGGGGCUAGCGUUGUCCGGAAUCAUUGGGCGUAAAGCGCGUGUAGGCGGUUCGGUAAGUCCGCUGUGAAAGUCGGGGGCUCAACCCUCGAAUGCCGGUGGAUACUGUCGGACUAGAGUACGGAAGAGGCGAGUGGAAUUCCUGGUGUAGCGGUGAAAUGGCGCAGAUAUCAGGAGGAACACCAAUUGCGAAAGGCAGCUCGCUGGGACGUUACUGACGCUGGAGACGCGAAAGCGUGGGGAGCAAACAGG
rnacentral:rRNA from 1 species